rnacentral:misc_RNA from 1 species
GAUGAAGAACGCAGCGAAAUGCGAUACGUAAUGUGAAUUGCAGAAUUCAGUGAAUCAUCGAGUCUUUGAACGCACAUUGCGCCCCCUGGUAUUCCGGGGGGCAUGCCUGUCCGAGCGUCAUUGCUGCCCUCAAGCACGGCUUGUGUGUUGGGCCCCCGUCCUCCUCCCGGGGGACGGGCCCGAAAGGCAGCGGCGGCACCGCGUCCGGUCCUCGAGCGUAUGGGGCUUCGUCACCCGCUCUUGUAGGCCCGGCCGGCGCUUGCCGACACAUCAAUCUUUUUUCCAGGUUGACCUCGGAUCAGGUAGGGAUACCCGCUGAACUUAAGCAUAUCAAUAAGCGGAGA